UGGUUUGGUUCCGAUCGGACAAAAAACCUAGGACUAGUUCGCAAAAGUAGGUUUUUAACAUAUUUGUGAAUAACAAUUGAACGAUUUGAUUGACAGCAAUGGUUCUUGAGGCAAAGUUGUGCAUUAUGAGGAGAUCUAUCAAAUGAUAUGCAUAUUGUGUUGAUAUGUGAAACACCACGUGAUUACAGAGCCAUAAAACUCGUUAGCGCCAACUAGUGGCCGAUUUCUUUCAAAAUUCUUACAGACCUUAAGGUUCAUGAGUCGAACGUACCCAGUGAGUUUCGUUCCGAUCAACAUCCGUUAACCCUUUCAAAUAGGUGCUUAAAUUUGUUUGGCCAAUGGCGGCCAUGUUUUUUUGAGAUAUGCAAAUGUCCUCAUAGGUACUUGUGCCCCUUCAGACCAAGACACUGCAUACCGAUUUUCAAGUCGAUCGAGCCAACGGUUGCCUAGUUAUAGCCAUUUAUGUGUUUUUUCUAUCUUAUAGCGCCCCCAAGUGGCAGAGAUGCGCAAUUUUUUUGAUUUGACCAAAGAUUGAGCUCUUACAUAUGCGUACCGAGUUUGGUGAAGAUAUCUCAUUCCGUUCAAGAGUUAUAGUUAAAAUAGCAUUUGGCUAACGUUAGCAUUGACGCUUUUUGGUGUACUGUUUCGCGUAAGAAUUGAAAUUUCAACUUUUUUUUGAUAAUUAUUGAUAUUGAGUGUCCAGGGAAUAUUCAUGAAGUGGUUUGGUUCUGAUUGGUUGAAAAUCCUAGGACUAGUUCGCAAAAGUAGGUUUCGGAUAUAGCUUGAUUUUGCGAGAAAACGGUGCGUCGUAGACCCCAAAAAGGCGCCGUGCACUUUUGUUCGGGCUAACCCAAGGAUUGCAACAAUGCCAUGUUUUUGAGUCUACGGCUAACGGUAUACGAUUUACGGCCAAAAAUGUCCAAAAUUUUUGUUUUUUGCGCUGUAGCGCCCCCGUUAGGCCGAUUGGGCUGAGACUUUGAUAAGUUCUCCCCAAAUUGAGCUCUACGAUCUGUCCAAAUUUCAGCUCUCUAGGCCUUACGGUUUGGGCUGCACGUUCAGUUCUAGGGCAGAAGAAUAAUAAUAAUAAUAAUAAUAAUAAUAAAAAUCCUAACAAUUACAAUAGGGUUUCAGCACUGCGUGCUUGAACCCCUAAUUAAAGCUGCAAGCAGCAUUUUACCGGGGUUCAAGCACAUUAAGGCCUCUGAGGUGGUCAGAGCCAACCUGGAUGCAUGGAUGACAGUUAAACACAUCCAAAAUGGAGAACAGGCUAACAGACAGACACACACACUGAAAGUAAAUGAUUAGACUAAUAUAUUAAUACUCUAUAAGCAUAUGCACACAUACACACACA